ACAACCCUGCGUUGUACGUGAUGAGUGAAUUGUUUUCUGCUCAAAAUAUUUAAAAGGGACUCCAAUAUAAUUUCUGUCGAUCGUAUAUCUGGCAGGCAGACUUGUUGGACAAUGAGAGGCAGCAGUGAGGAGACCCACCUGUUUGUUACAGGGUAUGAAAUACAUCGCUUUGUCACGGCAAAGGCGGGGCCUUU
rnacentral:other from 3 species